rnacentral:pre_miRNA from 1 species
AAUAAAUUAAUUUUUCACUUUUUACCUAUAAUUUUUGAUCUUUUGUUUUAUUUAAAUUUUUUUACGAUUGAUAUUUUUGUUUUUAUUAUAUGAUAAAUUAUGAAUAGUACUUUACGUUUGACUAACUUUUUUCUAAUUUUCUGAAAAAAAUUUAAAUAAGACGGAUGGUUAAACGUUGGACACGGAAACCGAAG